rnacentral:misc_RNA from 1 species
GUAGAGAUCAUUGAUCAGAUGAAAUCUAAAACAUAAAAAAAUGUUUUAUUAUAUAUAUAUAAUGUGUUUUGACAAACGAAAUUUGCCUUUCCUUUUUCCAUUCAAACUACCCUAAGGGUAUGAAAGUACCAUAAUUAUCGAAUUCAUAUGAAGCCACAAGUGCCCUAAACACAUGCAGUUUCCUCCUUCCUCUCUCUUCUUGCUCGGUUGUUAUCUCUUGAUUUGAAAUACUGCACCCAUUAUUUACCAGCCUACUAAAAUCAGCCUGGAUAAU